UACAGAGGUCCCGAGCGUUGUUCGGAUUCACUGGGUUUAAAGGGUGCGUAGGUGGGAUGGUAAGUCAGUGGUGAAAUCUCCAAGCUUAACUUGGAAACUGCCGUUGAUACUAUCAUUCUUGAAUCUCGUGGAGGUAAGCGGAAUAUGUCAUGUAGCGGUGAAAUGCUUAGAUAUGACAUAGAACACCGAUAGCGAAGGCAGCUUGCUACACGAGUAUUGACACUGAGGCACGAAAGCGUGGGGAUCAAACAGG
rnacentral:rRNA from 1 species